rnacentral:rRNA from 1 species
UACGUAGGUGGCAAGCGUUGUCCGGAAUUAUUGGGCGUAAAGCGCGCGCAGGCGGUCCUUUAAGUCUGAUGUGAAAGCCCACGGCUCAACCGUGGAGGGUCAUUGGAAACUGGGGGACUUGAGUGCAGGAGAGAAGAGUGGAAUUCCACGUGUAGCGGUGAAAUGCGUAGGAGAUGUGGAGACACCAGUGGCGAAGGCGACUCUUUGGCCUGUAACUGACACUGAGGCGCGAAAGCGUGGGGAGCAAACAGG